rnacentral:rRNA from 1 species
UGGGGAAUAUUACACAAUGGAGGAAACUCUGAUGUAGCAACGCCGCGUGGAGGAUGACACAUUUCGGUGCGUAAACUCCUUUUAUAUGGGAAGAUAAUGACGGUACCAUAUGAAUAAGCACCGGCUAACUCCGUGCCAGCAGCCGCGGUAAUACGGAGGGUGCAAGCGUUACUCGGAAUCACUGGGCGUAAAGCGCGCGCAGGCGGUCUUUUAAGUUGGAUGUGAAAUCCUAUGGCUCAACCAUAGAACUGCAUCCAAAACUGAAAGACUAGAGUCUGGGAGGGGAAGAUGGAAUUAGUGGUGUAGGGGUAAAAUCCGUAGAGAUCACGAGGAAUACCAGGGGCGAAGGCGAUCUUCUGGAAGAGUACUGACGCUGAGGCGCGAAAGCGUGGGGAGCAAACAG